rnacentral:rRNA from 1 species
AUUGAACGCUGGCGGCAUGCUUUACACAUGCAAGUCGAACGGUAACAGGUUAAGCUGACGAGUGGCGAACGGGUGAGUAAUGCAUCGGAACGUGCCCGGUCGUGGGGGAUAACGCAGCGAAAGCUGCGCUAAUACCGCAUACGAUCUGAGGAUGAAAGCGGGGGACCGUAAGGCCUCGCGCGAUCGGAGCGGCCGAUGUCAGAUUAGGUAGUUGGUGGGGUAAAGGCUCACCAAGCCGACGAUCUGUAGCUGGUCUGAGAGGACGACCAGCCACACGGGGACUGAGAAACGGCUCAGACUCCUACGGGAGGCAGCAGUGGGGAAUUUUGGACAAUGGGCGCAAGCCUGAUCCAGCAAUGCCGCGUGCAGGAAGAAGGCCUUCGGGUUGUAAACUGCUUUUGUGCGGAGCGAAAAGGCCCUCUCUAAUACAGGGGGCUCAUGACGGUACCGUAAGAAUAAGCACCGGCUAACUACGUGCCAGCAGCCGCCGUAA